GGGGAUUUAGCUCAGCGGCAUAAGCACCUGCCUUGUAAGCAGGCAGUCAUGAGUUCAAUACUCAGUACCG
rfam:Cavia porcellus supercont2_9 genomic scaffold, whole genome shotgun sequence.